UGAGGAAUAUUGGGCAAUGCCCGCAAGGGUGACCCAGCAACGCCGCGUGGAGGAUGAAUGUCGUAAGAUUGUAAACUCCUGUUAGAGGGGAAGAAUAGUACCGGUUGGACCGGUAUAUGACUGUACCCUCAGAGAAAGCCCCGGCUAACUACGUGCCAGCAGCCGCGGUAAUACGUAGGGGGCAAGCGUUGUCCGGAUUUACUGGGUGUAAAGGGCGCGCAGGCGGGAUAAAAAGUCAGUGGUGAAAUCCUACAGCUUAACUGUAGAACUGCCUUCGAUACUUUUAUUCUUGAGUUCGGUAGAGAGAGACGGAAUUCCAGGUGUAGUGGUGAAAUACGUAGAUAUCUGGAAGAACACCAGUUGCGAAGGCGGUCUCUUGGUCCGACACUGACGCUGAGGCGCGAAAGCGUGGGGAGC
rnacentral:rRNA from 1 species